rnacentral:rRNA from 1 species
GGCUGCGAUCAUACCAGCACUAAUGCACCGGAUCCCAUCAGAACUCCGCAGUUAAGCGUGCUUUGGCGAGAGUAGUACUAGGAUGGGUGACCCCCUGGGAAGUCCUCGUGUUGCAACAC